GCGGGUGUAGCUCAGUUGGUAGAGCGUCAGCUUCCCAAGCUGAAUGUCGCCGGUUCGAGUCCGGUCACCCGCU
rnacentral:tRNA from 2 species